AGCAGCCGCGGUAAUUCCAGCUCCAAUAGCGUAUAUUAAAGUUGUUGCAGUUAAAAAGCUCGUAGUUGAAUUUCGGGACUAAUAUGUCGGUCGUACUUUGUACGUACUAGCAUUAUUGGUUUCUCCCUUCUGACGAACCACGAUGUCAUUAAUUUGGUGUCAUGGGAAAUCAGGACUGUUACUUUGAAAAAUUAGAGUGUUUAAAGCAAGCUCGCGCUUGAAUACAUUAGCAUGGAAUAAUGAAAUAGGACGUUUGAUUCUAUUUUGUUGGUUUCUAGGAUCGACGUAAUGAUUAAUAGGGAUAGUUGGGGGCAUUAGUAUUCAAUUGUCAGAGGUGAAAUUCUUGGAUUUAUUGAAGACUAACUACUGCGAAAGCAUUUGCCAAGGAUGUUUUCAUUAAUCAAGAACGAAAGUUAGGGGAUCGAAGACGAUCAGAUACCGUCGUAGUCUUAACCAUAAACUAUGCCGACUAGGGAUCGGAUGAUGUUAAUUUUUAUGACUCAUUCGGCGCCUUA
rnacentral:rRNA from 1 species